AUGAAAUUUUGGUUCAGUAAAAAGAAAAACAGUAGUGAAAGCAACAAUAAUACAGAAAAAAAAAACGAUGAAAUAUACAAAGCCAUUUUAAAAAAUAGGGAAGCAAUAGCUGCAUUGGAAAAAAAGCAGAUUCAAGUUGAAAAAAGAAUUAAGCAACUAGAAGUUGAAGCUAAAGCACAUGUAACCGAGAAUAGAAUGAAUAGUGCAAAAAUAUUAUUAAAAAGAAAAAAAUUGUAUGAACAAGAAAUAGAAAAUAUUAUAAAUAAUAAACUAACCUUAGAAGAUAAUAUGAUAAGUCUAGAGAACAUGCAUUUGCAUAAAAUCGCUGUUAACGCUUUAUCAUAUACUGCUAAUACUCAUAAAAAAAUGAAUAACGAAAUAAAUGUACAAAAAGUUGAAAAAGUUAUUGAUAGUAUACAAGAUAUUAAGGACACACAAGAAGAAAUUAACCAAGCUUUGAAUUUUAAUGCAUUAAAUAAUAUAGAUGAUGAUGAAAUAGCUGAACAACUUAAUUUACUGAAGGAACAAACUAUACAAGAAAAAAUUAGUGCUAAUGUUAAUAAUGUUACAACAUUACCAGCAGUUAUGGAAGACAAUACUGAAGUCAAAGUGAAAUCCAAUGAAAAGGAGGAUAAAGUUGUCAUUGAAGAAUCGGAUGAUGAAGAACUUAAAGAAUUAAUUGAAGAAUUAGCAUAAAGACAAAAAAGAAAACAUCUUGUUCUUAUGCUUUUUUUUUAUUUGUUUUGAAAUACAAAAACACAUUAGUUUAAUUAAUUGUUUCCAAUUUUUUGUUAUAAUAAUUCGUUUUUUUUUUCUUUUUUCGUUUCCUUUUUCUUUUUCACACAUUUAUCCCAUGCUGUAUACAGUUUUUAUUACUUUUUUUUUAUUUAUAUGAAAAUUUUUAAACGAAAAUACUUUGAAUUCGAAGUUAGUUUCCUUUUUCUAUUUAUCUUUUUAUUUAUAACAUACUUUUAUAUCAGUCUUACAAAUGUUCUCAUAAAAAAAAAUUUUUUUUGUGUGUGUGUAUAUAUAUAUUUUUUUUUUUUUUUUUAAGUUAUAUGUAUAACAUAUUGUAUACAAAACAUAUAUAUACAUUUUUUUUUUUUUUUUCUUUUAAAGUGUUAUUUGUUAAAAAACAUAAAAAAAAUAUUGAAAUUAAUAACUAUGUUUGUGUAUUUUAGUUUACGACUCAUAGCUUUGUAAUUUUUUUUUUUUUUUUUUUUAUGAUGUAAUUGACAUAAUGUAUAACCAUUAAUAUAAUAAAUAGAAAAAGUUAGAUAACUAAUUUUGUCUU
rnacentral:lncRNA from 1 species